UGAUGUGAUGGAGAGUUUGGAGGACUUCUUGUCCCCAGUGAGCUCGGAGCUUUGAGUCAGGGAGCCUGGACCUGUGACUUGGUGAGGCCCCAGGGAUUAGGCCUACCACAGGUCUGGGGCACCUGGCCCUGGGGCUGCUGCCUAGUCAUUUCUGACUCAAUUUUCCCAACUUUGCAGCCCGAGGAGGCAGAGAGAGUGAAGGCCCAGGUUCAGGCCCUGGGGCUGGCUGAAGCCCAGCCUAUGGCUGUGGUACAGUCAGUGCCCGGGGCACACCCCGUGCCAGUGUACGCCUUCUCCAUCAAAGGCCCUUCCUAUGGAGAGGAUGUCUCCAAUACAACCACAGCCCAGAAGAGGAAGUGCAGCCAGACCCA
rnacentral:sRNA from 1 species